AGCGAACGCUGGCGGCAGGCUUAACACAUGCAAGUCGAACGGGCAUAGCAAUAUGUCAGUGGCAGACGGGUGAGUAACGCGUGGGAACAUACCUCUUGGUUCGGAACAACACAGGGAAACUUGUGCUAAUACCGGAUAAGCCCUUACGGGGAAAGAUUUAUCGCCGAGAGAUUGGCCCGCGUCUGAUUAGCUAGUUGGUGUGGUAAAAGCGCACCAAGGCGACGAUCAGAGCUGGUCUGAGAGGAUGAUCAGCCACAUUGGGACUGAGACACGGCCCAAACUCCUACGGGAGGCAGCAGUGGGGAAUAUUGGACAAUGGGCGCAAGCCUGAUCCAGCCAUGCCGCGUGAGUGAUGAAGGCCUUAGGGUGUAAAGCUCUUUGUACGGGAAGAUAAUGACGGUACCGUAAGAAUAAGCCCCGGCUAACUUCGUGCC
rnacentral:rRNA from 1 species